rnacentral:rRNA from 1 species
UCGGGAAUAUUGCGCAAUGGAGGAAACUCUGACGCAGUGACGCCGCGUAUAGGAAGAAGGUUUUCGGAUUGUAAACUAUUGUCGUUAGGGAAGAGAAAGGACAGUACCUAAGGAGGAAGCUCCGGCUAACUACGUGCCAGCAGCCGCGGUAAUACGUAGGGAGCGAGCGUUAUCCGGAAUUAUUGGGUGUAAAGGGUGCGUAGACGGGAAGAUAAGUUAGUUGUGAAAUCCCUCGGCUUAACUGAGGAACUGCAACUAAAACUGUUUUUCUUGAGUGCAGGAGAGGUAAGUGGAAUUCCUAGUGUAGCGGUGAAAUGCGUAGAUAUUAGGAGGAACACCAGUGGCGAAGGCGACUUACUGGACUGUAACUGACGUUGAGGCACGAAAGUGUGGGGAGCAAACAGG